AACGCUAGCUACAGGCUUAACACAUGCAAGUCGAGGGGCAUCAGGAAGAAAGCUUGCUUUCUUUGCUGGCGACCGGCGCACGGGUGAGUAACACGUAUCCAACCUGCCCUUUACUCGGGGAUAGCCUUUCGAAAGAAAGAUUAAUACCCGAUGGCAUAAUGAUUCCGCAUGGUUUCAUUAUUAAAGGAUUCCGGUAAAGGAUGGGGAUGCGUUCCAUUAGGUUGUUGGUGAGGUAACGGCUCACCAAGCCUUCGAUGGAUAGGGGUUCUGAGAGGAAGGUCCCCCACAUUGGAACUGAGACACGGUCCAAACUCCUACGGGAGGCAGCAGUGAGGAAUAUUGGUCAAUGGGCGCUAGCCUGAACCAGCCAAGUAGCGUGAAGGAUGAAGGCUCUAUGGGUCGUAAACUUCUUUUAUAUAAGAAUAAAGUGCAGUAUGUAUACUGUUUUGUAUGUAUUAUAUGAAUAAGGAUCGGCUAACUCCGUGCCAGCAGCCGCGGUAAUACGGAGGAUCCGAGCGUUAUCCGGAUUUAUUGGGUUUAAAGGGAGCGUAGGUAGACUGGUAAGUCAGUUGUGAAAGUUUGCGGCUCAACCGUAAAAUUGCAGUUGAUACUGUCAGUCUUGAGUACAGUAGAGGUGGGCGGAAUUCGUGGUGUAGCGGUGAAAUGCUUAGAUAUCACGAAGAACUCCGAUUGCGAAGGCAGCUCACUGGACUGCAACUGACACUGAUGCUCGAAAGUGUGGGUAUCAAACAGGAUUAGAUACCCUGGUAGUCCACACAGUAAACGAUGAAUACUCGCUGUUUGCGAUAUACAGUAAGCGGCCAAGCGAAAGCAUUAAGUAUUCCACCUGGGGAGUACGCCGGCAACGGUGAAACUCAAAGGAAUUGACGGGGGCCCGCACAAGCGGAGGAACAUGUGGUUUAAUUCGAUGAUACGCGAGGAACCUUACCCGGGCUUAAAUUGCAGUGGAAUGAUGUGGAAACAUGUCAGUGAGCAAUCACCGCUGUGAAGGUGCUGCAUGGUUGUCGUCAGCUCGUGCCGUGAGGUGUCGGCUUAAGUGCCAUAACGAGCGCAACCCUUAUCUUUAGUUACUAACAGGUUAUGCUGAGGACUCUAGAGAGACUGCCGUCGUAAGAUGUGAGGAAGGUGGGGAUGACGUCAAAUCAGCACGGCCCUUACGUCCGGGGCUACACACGUGUUACAAUGGGGGGUACAGAAGGCAGCUAGCGGGUGACCGUAUGCUAAUCCCAAAAGCCUCUCUCAGUUCGGAUCGAAGUCUGCAACCCGACUUCGUGAAGCUGGAUUCGCUAGUAAUCGCGCAUCAGCCACGGCGCGGUGAAUACGUUCCCGGGCCUUGUACACACCGCCCGUCACACCAUGGGAGUCAGUAACGCCCGAAGUCAGUGACCCAACCGUAAGGAGGGAGCUGCCGAAGGUGGGACCGAUAACUGGGGU
rnacentral:rRNA from 1 species